rnacentral:rRNA from 1 species
CAAUAGCGUAUAUUAAAGUUGUUGCAGUUAAAAAGCUCGUAGUUGGAUUUCUGGUCGGAAGCUCCUGUCCUCUGAUGAGCGCACAAGUGCGUCCUACCAUCCUUCUGUUAACCUUUAAGGCUUUCGCGGCUUUCUAGGGGCUCAGAUAUUUUACCUUGAGAAAAUUAGAGUGUUUCAGGCAGGCUAGCGCCGGAAUACAUUAGCAUGGAAUAAUGGAAUAGGACUUUUGCCUCUUCUGUUGGUCAUGAGGCUCGAGUAAUGAUUAAUAGGGAUAGUUGGGGGCAUUAGUACUUAACUGUCAGAGGUGAAAUUCUCGGAUUUGUUAAAGACUAACUUAUGCGAAAGCAUUUGCCAAGGAUGUUUUCAUUAA